UCAGUCCUAUGUUAACCUGUUUGGGCUUUUCAGAUUUUAAAUUGUUGUUAAUCUCUGAUUUUGGUCUACUCUGUUUAGACUUAGAGGAUUCAGCAACAAAUUUAACAGGUUUAACCUUAGGUUUUUGAGUUUUAACAAACUCUGUUUUUGAUGACUCAGCUUCUGAGUUAUCAGUGUAACCUAGUCCCUUCUUCCAGUUUCCACUACCUAUUGUUUUUGUUAUCAGACUUUACCUCUUUAAGCUUAUGUUUAAGCUGUUUCUGAGUCAUCAGUCCUAUGUUAACCUGUUUGGGCUUAUCAGAUUUUAAAUUGUUGUUAAUCUCUGAUUUUGGUCUAUUCUGUUUAGACUUAGAGGAUUCAGCAACAAAUUUAACAGGUUUAACCUUAGGUUUUUGAGUUUUAACAAACUCUGUUUUUGAUGGCUCAGCUUCUGAGUUAUCAAUGUAACCUAGUCCCUUUUUCCAGUUUCCACUACCUAAGAUAUCCUGAGUAGUUUUGCCUGAAUUAGUCCAUGUUUUAAUAAUGUCUCUUUCCUUAGCAAGUUCUGAUUGAAGAGAUGCAUAUCUCUUUAAUAAUUCAUCUUUGACAAUGACAGCAUCAUCUCUUUCUUUCUGAACUUCUAGCAUCUGAAC
rnacentral:lncRNA from 1 species